CUUGGACAUGCUGUUUCACUGCUGAUUUCACUUUACGUUUACGGUUCAGUAAGCAGAUGUCACUGAAGGAAACUAUUUAUUUAUGGCAAAAAAGUGCUAGAGUUCUUUUGUGUAAGAUAAGCAGUCCAGGGUCAAAAGUCAGCUAUAAAGUUGAUGAUAGAAUAACAGUUAGAAUACGUUACCUACUGCAGUGUUUUUGUGGGGCUAUGGAUGUAAACACUUCACCCAACAUUGCUCCUGCUCCUCAUGUCAAG